rnacentral:lncRNA from 1 species
GGAGCUCACAUUCAACGUUUCUUGGGUCUAAAUCUUCCGGGCAGCUGUCUACACUUUGGCUCAGGGUCUUGUUCUGUCACCCAGGCUGGAGUGCAGGGGCAUGAUCACUGCUCACCCCAACGUCAACCUCCUGGAUUCAACUGAUCCUCCCAAUUGAAUGAUUGUUCUGAAAUACCCUCUGCAGGACUCCUUUGUGAUAUUCAUCAAAUAUUUCUUGCUCUCCACCCUCCAGACACAUGUGAUUUUCAUGGUGUGAUAUAUAGUCAACCCCACAUCAGAUCACCUGGAAUCAUUGUCGAUAUUGGGUACAACUUGCCUCACCCCAGAAUUUCAAGGAGUGUGACCUGCGAGUCUGUAUUUUUACCAGGUACCAUCUGCUGACUUCCCACAUCAGAAGCAGAAUGAUCUUCAACCCAAGACACAGGCAAAGAGAGCAUCUAACUGCUUAAAAUGAGAGCAGGAAUGGCUGUUGGCUUAGAUAGAUGGCACCCCAGAGUCCUGAAAGAACUUGCAGAUGUGAUCACAGGACCAUCUGAACCGGAGAAACCGGGGGGAAUGGAGAGACAGCAAAAGACCGGAGAUGGGUAAAUGAGUUCCAGAUUUUCCAACACAACAGGAAAGGUGACUUACGGGUCUGUGUGCUGGUUACAUUUAAUGUUGAGCUUCAGCAAAACUCCGGAACAGAUGAUUGAAGGGGCUUUGUGCGUAUUUAUUAAAGAAAGUAAUGAUUGCUAGGCACUCUCAUGAGUUCCCCGAAAUCUGAGCUCGUGCCAGACAACCUUGUUUCCAUGCCAUAGCACUCCACUGGACGAGCAGGAAAAUAUCAUAGUCAGAAAUGACUUAUUUUAGCAAGACACUUAGCAAAAGUCUCACGUGACAUCCUUGUGGACCGAGGAAUGUGGACUGGUGGUUGCUUUGUGUCCACAUUUCAGGGGACCCACUCAGGGUCCUCCUUAGGCCCCUGUCUCUACACGAAACCUCAGCCACAAAGGUGCAAGGGAAAUAAACUGACUGUCACAGAGACAAUUGCUAAUGAACUUUUAAAAAACGAAUGACUUAUUUUUUAAAAUUUUUAUUUUUCAAUUAACAGAACUAAAUUUAUUCUCAAUGUUAUAACUAUGGAAAAUGGAAAAAAUUGCUACCUCUUACUUUCUUAUUCCUUUUAAUUGAAUAUAUUUGAGGUGUACAGCAUAUUUUCAUAUACUUACCUUUUUUUUUUUCCGUGAGAGACAGAGCCUCACUCUGUUGUCUAGGCUGGAGCAUAGCAGUGCAACCAUGGCUCACUGCUGCCUCCAACUCCUGGGCUCAGGUGAUCCUCCCACCUUAGCGCCCCCGAGUAGCUGAGACUACAGGCACAUGCCACCACAUCCAACUAAUUUUUUUUUCUGUAGAGACAAUCCUCCUGCCUCAGCUUCCCAAGGAGCUGGGACUAUGGACACGCACCACCAUGCUCAGCUGAUUUUUAAAUUUUUUGUAGAGACGGGGUCUCACUGUAUUUCCCAGGAGUGUCUUGAACUCCUGGACUCAAGCAAUCCUCUGCCUUUGCCUCCCAAAGUGUUGGGAUUUCAGGCAUGAGCUACUGUGCCUGGCCAAUAUACUUAUCUUGAUAUGCAUAUACAUAGUGAGGUGGUCACUAUAGUCAAGUAAAUUGAUAUACUGGUACAUUAUCUCUAUAGCUACUUUUCCUCUGUAUGUGUGUGUGUGUGUGAUCAGAGUACCUAAAAUCUACUCUCUUGUCAAAUUACCAGUAUAAAAUAGAAUAUUAUUAACCGUAGUCCUCAUGUUGUACAUUAGAUUUCUAAACUUAUUCAUUCAACAGUUAGGGCGCAACUUUGUACGCUUUGACCUAUAUCUUCCCAUUUCGACCCUUCGCCUCCAGGCUCCCUUCACCUCUGGUAUCUGUCCUUUUACUUUCUGGUUCUACCUAUUCAAUUUAUUGAAUUUAAUUUUUUAGAUGUCACUUAAAAGUAAGAUCAUGCAGUAUUUUUCUUUCUGUGUCUGGCUUAUUUGACUUAGCAUAAUGUCCCCUAAGCUCAUCCAUGUUGUCACAGAUGGCAGGAUCUGCUCUUUUUAAGGCUGAAUAGUAUUCCAUUGUGUAUCUAUGCCACAAUUUCUUCAUCUAGUCAUCUGUUGAUCGACACUUUGACUGUUUCCAUACCUUGGCAAUUGUGAAUAAGAAUGCAAUGGACACGGAAGUGCAGAUGUUUCUACGAGGUGGUGACUUCAUUUCCUUUGGGUAUAUACCCAGAAGAAGCAUUGUUGGGUUAUAUGGUAGUUCUAUUUCUACUUGCUUUAGGAAACCCCCAUACUGUUUUCCACAGUGGCUGUACGAAUCUACAUUGCCACCAACAGUGUACAAGAAUUCUCUUUUCUCCACACCUUUACUAUUUCUUUGUAAGAAGGAUUAAUGACUUUUUGGUAAAAGCCAUCCUAACAGGUGUGAGAUAAUAUCUCAUUGUGGUUUCUAUUCACAUUUCCCUAAUGACUAGUGAUGUUGAGCACUUUUCAUUUCACCUGUUGGCUGUUUUUAUAUCUUCUUUGGAGAAAUCUCUAUUCAAGUCUUUUGCCCAGAGUUGUGUGAGUUCUUAUACAUUUUGGAUAUUAACCCCUUAUCAGAUAUGUGGGUCACAAAUAUUUUUUCCCAAUCUGUAGACCAAAUUUUCAUUUUGUAUACUGUUUCCUUUGCUAUGCAGAAGCUUUUUAGUUUGAUGUAGUCCUGUUUAUUUUUGCUUUUAUUGCCUGUGCUUUUGGUGUCCUAUCAAAAAAAAAUAUAUUGCCAAGAACAAUGUCAAAGAGAUUUUCCCCAAAUCUUUUUGUAGGAGUUUUUAUGGUUUCAGAGCUUCUGCUUAAGUAUUUAAUCCACUUUGAGUUGAUUUUUGUAGAUGGUGCCGGAUAAGGGUCCAAUUUUAUUUUGCAUGUAGACACCCAGUUUUCUCAGCACCAUUUAUUGAAGAGACAGUGCUUUCCUCAUGGUGUCUUCUUCUGUCCUUGUUGAAAAUUUGUUGACUGUGUGUGCUUGAGUUUAUUUCUGGGCUCUGUAUUAUGUUCCAUUGAUAUAUGUAUCUGUUUUUUUAUACCAGUACCAUACUGUUCGGGAUGCCUCCAGCUUUGUUCUUUUUGCUCAGGCUUGCCCAGGCUAUCCAGGGUCUUUGAUAGUUCUAUAUGAAUUUUAGGAUUUUUUGUCAAUUUCUGUAAAAAUAAAUGUCAUUGGAAUUUUGAUAGAGACUGUAUUUAAUCUGUAGAUCACUUUGGGCAGUAAGGCUUCUGGUCACAAAAGCUCCUUGUCUAGAUGACCUGUGGCAUCUACCAGAGUCACUUCAACACAACUUUGCUCGUUGCACCUUAUCUUCCCUUUUAUUUGGUCUGAAUUGCCUUUGGAGCACUUUCUAGUUGAAAGACACAUGUUCUUUUUGUUGUUGUUGUUUUUGAGACCAGAGUCUUGCUCUAUCACUCAGGCUGAAAUGCAGCGACCAUGGCUCACAGCAGCAUUGACCUCCCAGGCUCAAGCAAUCCUCCUGCCUCAGCCUCCCGAGUAGCUGGAACUACAAGUAUGUGCCACCACCCCUGGUUAAUUCUUAAACAGUGAGAUGGGAUCUCACAAUGUUAUCUAGGCUUGUCUUGAACUCCUGGGCUCAAGCGAUCCUCCUGCCUUGGCCUCAAAGUGCUGGGAUUACAGGCACCAACCCCCAGUGGGCCCAGCCAAAGACACAUGUUCUAAAGAAUUUGAGGAAACCCUUUCAUUAAGAAUGAGAUAGCAGGCCUGGCGCGGUGGCUCACACCUCUAAUCCCAGCAUUUUGGGAGGCCGAGGCGGGGAGAUCACGAGGUCAGGAGUUCAAGACCAGCCUGGCCAACAUGGUGAAACCCUAUCUCUACUAAAAAUACAAAAUUAGCCAGGUGUGGUGGCACACACCUGUAGUCCCAGCUACUCGGAAGGCUGAGGCAAAAAAUAGUCUGUACCUGGGAGGCAGAGCUUGCAGUAAGCUGAGAUUGUGCCACUGUACUUCAGCCUGGGCAAUGGAUUGAGACUCUGUCUAAAAAAAAAAAAAAAAAAAGAAUGAGAUAGCAGACACUCAGAUGUGUGCAGCAUGAUGUUCCAGUUGACCCUUGUGAGCCAGGAAAAUUUUGUUUUUCAACUUUAACUCUUAAAGAAAGUUAAAUAUAGUCUAAAACUUUGGUCUAUAUCACUGACCUUUUUCCGCCCACUAAAGCAUACAGCAGCAGAAAGUUUCAGGCAAUCCCGAUCAGUAAGUCUGUUUCUCUCUCAAUGAGGCUAUGAGAGAACCCCCUUUUCAUGCUUAUUCAGUGAGUCAAAGAGUCUGUGUGGGUAGAGACACUCAGAACAUCUCUGAGGACAGACACGGUAAGAUAAGACGCAAAGUAUUGCCACAAAGUGUUUUCCAAGGUUACCUGCUACUUGCUGUGACUGAUUUUGUUGUAGGCAAAAACUGUCUUAUGGAAAUGAAUCAGUUCAGAUUAGGAGCAUUAAAAAAGCUCAUAAUACUCAUGGCCUCAGUAAGGCAGAAGUUUAUUUCUCCCACAGAGAAGUACAGGGGCUAAGAGCCCAAGGCUGCCGUGGCAGUUCUGUGAAGGCAUUUCAGGGCUCAGUCCAACUGAGGAAACAAGACCAAGAACACUCUUCUCUCUCAAAGUCCAGAGGAGAGAAGUCAGCUUAUUCUUCCUCUGUAAAGAUCUUUUAUCCCAAGUCAGAUGUUAAACACAGGGUAGAGCUGACAAAGAACACUUCUUUCCCCCAUAAGGAGAACGGUGGAAUCUUGAGCUGUCACUUACAUCUCGUUGACCUGAACUUGGUCUCGUGGCCACACCGGCCUGCAUGGGAAGCUAAGAAAUAAAACCUAACAACUGAAGUUCUAUUAUUAAACUGGAAGGGAAAAGAAACAUCGGGAGGUAAUUAUCAAUCCUUGCCACAACAACGUGGGGGCAAAUUAGUCUCUACAUGUGUACUGUCCAAUAUGGCCACCACCAACCACAUGUGGCUACUGGGCCCUUGAAAAGUGGCUGCUCUGCUGAUAGGAUCAUUCCACAAUGUGUGCAUGUCUUGAAACAUCACAUUGUAUCCUGUAAAUAUACAGUUAUCAUUUGUCCGUUAAAAAUACAAGAAGACUUUUUUUAAAAAAGAAAUGCUGCUGGUCCAAAUUGGGAUGUGUUAUAAGUAUAAAAUACACACAGGAUUUCAAAGUCUUAGCAUGACAAAAAGAAUGCAAAAUAUCUCUCAGCUUUUAUAUUGAUUACAUAUUGAAGUGAUACUAUCAUUGAAAUAAUACCCAAAUAUACUGGUUUAAAUAAAUGUUAUUAAAAUAAUUUCAUCUGUUCCUUUUCACUUUUUAAAAUGUAGCUUCCCCGGGCGCAGCGGCUCAUGCUUAUAAUCCCAGCACUUUGGGAGGCCAAGGCAGGUGCAUCACUUGAGGUCAGGAGUUCAUGACCAGCCGGGCCAACAUGGUGAAACCCUAUCUGUGCUAAUAAUACAAAAAGUAGCCGGGCCUGGUGGCAGGCGCCUGUAAUCCUGGCUACUCAGGAGGCUGAGGCAGGAGAAUCGCUUGAACCUGGGAGGUGGAGGUUGCAGUGAGCAGAGAGCGCACCACUGCACUCCAGCCUGGGUGACAGACUGAGAUUUCAUCUCAAAACAAUAAAAUAAAUAAAAUAAAAUAAAAUGCAGCUACUAUAAAACUUCACAUUAUACAUGUGCUGCACAUUGUAUCUCUAUUAAGCAGUGCUGCUCUAGAACAACCCAUACGGUCUUCUGAAAGACUCCAGGCUUGGAAAGUGGGACAGAGAUGGGAAAUUUA